AGCGAACGCUGGCGGCAGGCCGAACACAUGCAAGUCGAACGGAUCCUUCGGGAUUAGUGGCGGACGGGUGAGUAACACGUGGGAACGUGCCCUUUGGUUCGGAACAACUCAGGGAAACUUGAGCUAAUACCGGAUGUGCCCUUCGGGGGAAAGAUUUAUCGCCAUUGGAGCGGCCCGCGUCUGAUUAGCUAGUUGGUGAGGUAAAGGCUCACCAAGGCGACGAUCAGUAGCUGGUCUGAGAGGAUGAUCAGCCACAUUGGGACUGAGACACGGCCCAAACUCCUACGGGAGGCAGCAGUGGGGAAUCUUGCGCAAUGGGCGAAAGCCUGACGCAGCCAUGCCGCGUGAAUGAUGAAGGUCUUAGGAUUGUAAAAUUCUUUCACCGGGGACGAUAAUGACGGUACCCGGAGAAGAAGCCCCGGCUAACUUCGUGCCAGCAGCCGCCGUAAUAC
rnacentral:rRNA from 1 species